rnacentral:tRNA from 1 species
GCGGGUAUAGUUUAAUGGUAGAACUUCAGCCCUCCAAGCUGACUGUGAGGGUUCGAUUCCCUUUACCCGCUCCA